rnacentral:lncRNA from 1 species
GGUCUUUAGGGCGGAGAUCACAGAAUCAUUGGAGAUAUUAAUGCAAACGGAGGCCUGUCCAAUAAUCCUGCUAAUGCUAAUGGGUUACUGGAAAGAUGAGAAGAGAGGAAAGAUCCCAACGAUCCCGUCAACACGAAAAUCCCAGGAAUCAGAGAAAUGCUGAGCCGAUUAUCAGGAUUAGCAAAUGUUGUUUUGCAUGAAUUAUCAGGAGAUGAUGACACUGAUCAGAAUAUGAGGGCUCCCCUAGACCCUGAAUUACACCAAGAAUCUGACAUGGAAU